GGUUAAGCGACUAAGCGUACACGGUGGAUGCCCUGGCAGUCAGAGGCGAUGAAGGACGUGCUAAUCUGCGAUAAGCGUCGGUAAGGUGAUAUGAACCGUUAUAACCGGCGAUUUCCGAAUGGGGAAACCCAGUGUGUUUCGACACACUAUCAUUAACUGAAUCCAUAGGUUAAUGAGGCGAACCGGGGGAACUGAAACAUCUAAGUACCCCGAGGAAAAGAAAUCAACCGAGAUUCCCCCAGUAGCGGCGAGCGAACGGGGAGCAGCCCAGAGCCUGAAUCAGUGUGUGUGUUAGUGGAAGCGUCUGGAAAGGCGCGCGAUACAGGGUGACAGCCCCGUACACAAAAAUGCACAUACUGUGAGCUCGAUGAGUAGGGCGGGACACGUGGUAUCCUGUCUGAAUAUGGGGGGACCAUCCUCCAAGGCUAAAUACUCCUGACUGACCGAUAGUGAACCAGUACCGUGAGGGAAAGGCGAAAAGAACCCCGGCGAGGGG
rnacentral:rRNA from 1 species